AAUUCACCAAAAAAUUUGUUGUUCACAUCCGGGGGACUCAGGCGUAAAAAAUCGAUCCUGGCCAAAAUCGAACCAACGCCCAGCCAAUCACGUGGCGCUCCUCCGGUCAUGUGACGCAGACGGUUCACCUCACAAGACCGGGGUCAACCACGGCUACCAGCAUGAACGACGGCGCUUCAGACCUUUGUAGCGAGGACCCGAUGCCAGGUCCAGUGGACAGACUUCAGACGUCUCUGUGUGUCCCGUCCUGUCCGGUCCUGUCUCUGGUUGCCUGGUUACAGACGCUGCUGCACCCGCACGUUUAAAAAUGUCUACACCUGAAACUCCACCACGUCUAAAGAAGCAAAAACGUUUGCAAAUGUACAGACUGGAGUAGGAAGAGUGGAACCCCUGGCAAUGGAUACAAGGCAAACUGUGUUUUCUGUUGCUCAUGGACUGGCUGAAGUAAGGCAGCAUCAGGAGACAAACAUGGAGGAAAUAUGAGAACAGAGAGAACCCAACCAGCAGGUCACAGUUUAUCAUCAUCUAAUCAUCUCCUGAAGUCCAUAUGACUAAAGAACUACAGACUCUUCACAACCUGCUCAAACUCUUGGUACAGGACCUCACC
ensembl:lncRNA